rnacentral:rRNA from 1 species
CCUCUCGGGGUUCAGCCUUGCUGAAUUAUUCACCCUUGUCUUUUGCGUACUUCUUGUUUCCUUGGUGGGUUCGCCCACCACUAGGACAAACAUAAACCUUUUGUAAUUGCAAUCAGCGUCAGUAACAAAUUAAUAAUUACAACUUUCAACAACGGAUCUCUUGGUUCUGGCAUCGAUGAAGAACGCAGCGAAAUGCGAUAAGUAGUGUGAAUUGCAGAAUUCAGUGAAUCAUCGAAUCUUUGAACGCACAUUGCGCCCUUUGGUAUUCCAAAGGGCAUGCCUGUUCGAGCGUCAUUUGUACCCUCAAGCUUUGCUUGGUGUUGGGCGUCUUGUCUCUAGCUUUGCUGGAGACUCGCCUUAAAGUAAUUGGCAGCCGGCCUACUGGUUUCGGAGCGCAGCACAAGUCGCACUCUCUAUCAGCAAAGGUCUAGCAUCCAUUAAGCCUUUUUUUCAACUUUUGACCUCGGAUCAGGUAGGGAUACCCGCUGAACUUAAGCAUAUCAAUAAGCGGAGGAAAAGAAACCAACAGGGAUUGCCCUA